rnacentral:rRNA from 1 species
UACGUAGGGGGCGAGCGUUAUCCGGAUUUAUUGGGUGUAAAGCGUGUGUAAGCGGUUUCUUAAGUCUAAGGUUAAAGUCCGGAGCUUAACUCCGGUUCGCCUUAGAAACUGGGUCACUUGAGUAUGGUAGAGGCAAAUGGAAUUUCUAGUGUAGCGGUAGAAUGCGUAGAUAUUAGAAGGAACACCAGUGGCGAAGGCGAUUUGCUGGGCCAUCACUGACGCUGAGACACGAAAGCGUGGGGAGCAAAUA